UUUUUAUUAUCCCACCCCCUCUUCCUCCCAUUCUCUCUUUCUCAAUCCAUCCUUUUGCCCUGAUUCUCUCUCUCUCAACUAGUGUUCUCCCCUGGCUUCCUUCUUUUCGUUCUUUUCUUUUUUUCCACCGAGAGACCGAGAGAGGGAGAUCGGAGAGGGAGGCCGAGAGAGCUGAAGAGAGAGCUAGAGAGAACCUGAGAUAGACGCGAGGUGGGCUAGCCACCGUUGGGGGUGGACAACGACGCCGGAGGCCGGUGGGUCACGGCCCGAUGCCGGUAAAGCCAGGGGACGUCUUUUUCCGGCAUUUUCUCGGCACCCAAACAUGGAGAAAUUCAUUUUUCGACUGAUCUCACUUCUAGACCAUGGUGUGCAAUUAUUAUCAUCUCUAAUGAUGGAAAUCAGCAACUGUUAGAGACAAAAAGGAUUCUCCAAGUUGCGUGAUUGUGGAAGACCUCCAGUUCCUAGAAAAGAUCCAGGAGACAAGCCAGAAGAGGAACCUUUGUUGUCAAAUCACCCUUAUGUUGAUAAGGUAUGUUUCUGACAAGGAAUUAUUUUCUGAGAAGUCUAGCUAUUAGAUUUCAAUGUUUUGAACUAUGUGUUUGCAAUUAAUACGAAGGGGCAAGUGCAUUUACAUAGCAUUUUACAUAAUUUUUGCAAGUCUCAAACUGAGAUUUUGAUAUAUGUGUUUGCAAUUAAUACAAAGGGGCAAGUGCAUACACAUAGUUUGUUCAUAUGUGUCUAUAUUACAACUGCCCCUGGAGCCGAUUGCCUAGAUAACAUUGUCAAAGUCAAAUGCAAUUGCUGUAAAUGCACUCAAAUUGGAUCUUGUGCUUCUAGUAAUUGAGCUUCAAGUGGUAUUUUGAUGUAACACCUCUAUGCAUUUGUUUUAUAUCGAAAUGUAAGCAGUAUAAUCAACUUAGACAUUUUUCUGUUCAUUUCAA